CCCUAGCGCUGUUCUCCACUAUUUCCUCCCUUCUCAUCUUGCAGUCCCUGCUUGACCCACUGCGGUUGGCCUCCACCCCCUCUAGUGCCGGGAACUUUCCGGGCUGAGGUCACCAGGGACCUCUUCCUUGCAUAACUCUUUCUUCCCUUGACCUCUCAAUGGCAUGUGACCCUGGCAUCACUUCCUCCUUAAAUGUGCCUCUCUGACUUCCAUGACGUGAACUCUCCUGCUUUUCUGGACAGCCUUCUGGGUCUCUCCAGUUGAGACUCUCUGCUGAUCCAGACCCAAACAAUCGACUGCCUACUGAGCAUCACCACCCCAUGUGUCACAGUCACUGGACAUCGGCAUGUCUAAAGGAGUUCCUCACCAGCUCCGCACCCCCAUCCCUACUCCUGGGUUCUACUGGCUCUCCUACCCGGCAGGUAAACCACCUGAAGCUUCGGACCGGCUGGGUCACCUCGGGAAAGUAACUUAACCUCUCUGAACGCCCCCAAGGUCAGAAAGCUUUGCUUUCGGGGGAGAAAGCGUCCCUUAGGCGCGGGACGCGUGAGACGGGCGAGGAUGCCGGAGGCGGGAAGCGAGAGCGGGAAUGCCCAGCCCUGGCAAGCUGAGAGGGGCGGAGAGAGGACCAGCAGAGAUUGAGCGCCUACUGUGUGCCUUAGCGCUUGACAACAGGACUUUCGUUAGAUCUUCACUACAGCCCUUGCCAGAGGGAGUUAAUGCCCCAUUUAAGAGGGAUAAACUGAGCCUCUGAGAGGUGAAGUCACUCGCCGAAAACUGCACAGCCAGGCUCAGCGUGACACCCCAAAUCAGGGCUCAGUUACGCCAAGAAGAACACGAUGAGCUUGAACCACUGGUUUGCCGAGUCCUGUUCUUGCUCUUUUUGUGUAGACAGACACAUAGUAGGUGCUCAGGAAGAUAUUGGAAGAUGGAAAAUGAGCUUGACAGCUCAGCCCCGGAGUACGCGCCGCGAAUCCAGCCCAGCCCGCGGGGCACCGGGUUUCCCCAGACCUCAGAAGGGAACUUUUGCGAUGGGCGGACAUCUCAGUUCGACACAGGCAUUCGACAAACACGUGGUGGCGGAGCCCCAGCCCUAGCGGAGGACAGACCGGAUUCAAAUCCCAGCUCUGCCGCUAUCAGGCUGUGUGACUUUGGGCAAGUCACGUCAUCUGCCGAACCUCGGUUGUACCGCCUACAAAAUGGGGAUAUUAACAUCCACUUCCAAAGGGUUGUGGGGAGGAUUAAACGAAACAAUGUUUCUAACACACUUACUACACGCACAAGUAUCGUCGCGCGUUCAUCCCGCAACCUUCAGGCGGUGCACCCGUUCGGGAUGAGGACCCGAGACUAAGGCUCCUCGGCCCCAGUUCCCAAGUCGCCCACCCCUGGACGCACGGACCGACGGGCCUUCCAGUCACCCUCGUCCGGCGAAACCCGAAAUUUCGGGCACUUCGGCCGCGGUUGGUCCCGAAAACAAAUAUUCAAAUAUUCCGAAACUGGCGCAUGGCUAGGGCUGACAUUUUUGCGUUUAAUUUUCUUGAAGUUUUAUUCUUGUCUGUAAAGGUAAUUCGUUAGACCCUCCUAAGUGAGACUUCUCGUCUUUGUCUUGUUUAACUUUUCGUAAGAGCGAAGUUCACAAAGC
ensembl:lncRNA